AGCUGUGAAACAGAGAAACAGAUAAGAGAAGAUUUCCCAAGGCAAAGGUUUCAACAGAUUCUCCUAACUAACAUGUUCAAUUCAAUUAAUAAGACGAUUCCUAAGACAAUCUCUAAGCUAGUUCAUACCCACUCCCGUGGCAUACAAACCGUUGAUUAUAUGCAAGGCUACCAUCCCUGGAUCGCACUUCUAACAUGUAACUCCUAAAAGUUCAUAGGAUUAACGCCCUCACAGUUAUCAAUUCCCUUUAGAAUUAAAAUAAAUGUGUUCUAUGUUCUUAGUUCAGGUAAUAAUUAUCAUCUCCCGAUCUCAAAUUAAAACCUAUUAUUAUGCUAAAUUGGUGGCCAAUCAAUAAAGCAAACAAUUAAAACAAGAACAUAGAAA
rnacentral:lncRNA from 1 species